GACGAACGCUGGCGGCGUGCUUAACACAUGCAAGUCGAACGGAAAGGCCCUGCUUUUGUGGGGUGCUCGAGUGGCGAACGGGUGAGUAACACGUGAGUAACCUGCCCUUGACUUUGGGAUAACUUCAGGAAACUGGGGCUAAUACCGGAUAGGAGCUCCUGCUGCAUGGUGGGGGUUGGAAAGUUUCGGCGGUUGGGGAUGGACUCGCGGCUUAGCAGCUUGUUGGUGGGGUAGUGGCUUACCAAGGCUUUGACGGGUAGCCGGCCUGAGAGGGUGACCGGCCACAUUGGGACUGAGAUACGGACCAGACUCCUACGGGAGGCAGCAGUGGGGAAUAUUGCACAAUGGGCGGAAGCCUGAUGCAGCAACGCCGCGUGCGGGAUGACGGCCUUCGGGUUGUAAACCGCUUUCGCCUGUGACGAAGCGUGAGUGACGGUAAUGGGUAAAGAAGCACCGGCUAACUACGUG
rnacentral:rRNA from 1 species